UACGUAGGGCGCAAGCGUUGUUCGGAAUUACUGGGCGUAAAGGGCUCGUAGGCGGCCAACUAAGUCAGACGUGAAAUCCCUCGGCUUAACCGGGGAACUGCAUCUGAUACUGGAUGGCUUGAGUUCGGGAGAGGGAUGCGGAAUUCCAGGUGUAGCGGUGAAAUGCGUAGAUAUCUGGAGGAACACCGGUGGCGAAGACGGCAUCCUGGACCGACACUGACGCUGAGGAGCGAAAGCCAGGGGAGCAAACGGG
rnacentral:rRNA from 1 species